AUCUAUGGCCAUACCACCCUGAACCCGACCAGUCUCAUCUGAUCUCGGAAGCUAAGCAGGAUCAGGCCUGGUUAGUACUUGGAUGGGAGAAAUGCCAAUCAAAACCAAAAUGAGAUACCAUCUCAC
rfam:Pan troglodytes isolate Yerkes chimp pedigree #C0471 (Clint) chromosome 12, whole genome shotgun sequence.